rnacentral:rRNA from 1 species
AUUGAACGCUGGCGGCAGGCCUAACACAUGCAAGUCGAACGAGUGGCGGACGGGUCAGUAAUGCGUGGGAAACUGCCCGAUGGAGGGGGAUAACUACUGGAAACGGUAGAUAAUACCGCAUACCAUCGGAUGUGCGCCGAGGGGAGUAGUUAGUAGGUGGGGGAACGGCUCACCUAGGCGACGAUCCCUAGCUGGUCUGAGCGGAUGACAAGCCACACUGGAACAGAGACACGGUCCAGACUCCUACGGGAGGCAGCAGUGGGGAAUAUUGCACAAUGGGCGAAAGCCUGAUGCAGCAAUGCCGCGUGUAUGAUGAAGGCCUUCGGGUUGUAAAGUGCUUUCAGCGAGGAGGCGUUACUCGAAGAAUAAGCACCGGCUAACUACGUGCCAGCAGCCGCGGUAAUUC